rnacentral:rRNA from 1 species
AACGAACGCUGGCGGCAUGCCUAACACAUGCAAGUCGAACGAAGUCUUCGGACUUAGUGGCGCACGGGUGCGUAACGCGUGGGAAUCUGCCCUUGGGUGCGGAAUAACUUCUCGAAAGGGAUGCUAAUACCGCAUAAUGUCGUAAGACCAAAGAUUUAUCGCCCAAGGAUGAGCCCGCGUAAGAUUAGCUAGUUGGUGGGGUAAAAGCUUACCAAGGCGACGAUCUUUAGCUGGUCUGAGAGGAUGAUCAGCCACACUGGGACUGAGACACGGCCCAGACUCCUACGGGAGGCAGCAGUGGGGAAUAUUGGACAAUGGGCGAAAGCCUGAUCCAGCAAUGCCGCGUGAGUGAUGAAGGCCUUAGGGUUGUAAAGCUCUUUUACCCGGGAUGAUAAUGACAGUACCGGGAGAAUAAGCCCCGGCUAACUCCGUGCCAGCAGCCGCGGUAAU